rnacentral:rRNA from 1 species
UAGGGAAUCUUCGGCAAUGGACGAAAGUCUGACCGAGCAACGCCGCGUGAGUGAAGAAGGUUUUCGGAUCGUAAAACUCUGUUGUUAGAGAAGAACAAGGACGUUAGUAACUGAACGUCCCCUGACGGUAUCUAACCAGAAAGCCACGGCUAACUACGUUCCAGCAGCCGCGGUAAUACGUAGGUGGCAAGCGUUGUCCGGAUUUAUUGGGCGUAAAGCGAGCGCAGGCGGUUUCUUAAGUCUGAUGUGAAAGCCCCCGGCUCAACCGGGGAGGGUCAUUGGAAACUGGGGGACUUGGGUGGAGAAGGGGGGAGUGGAAUUCCAUGUGUAGCGGUGAAAUGCGUAGAUAUAGGGAGGAACACCAGUGGCGAAGGCGGCUCUCUGGUCUGUAACUGACGCUGAGGCUCGAAGGCGUGGGAAGCAAACAGG